UGCUGUACAGCACACUAAGGAAUGAAAAAUGUGCACAUGUACAUUUGUUUCUUUUGUGUUCAUGUGAAAGUUUUGAGGGGGAUAACCAAAAGCAACAUUACUAAUAACCAGUUUUUGUACAUUUUGUUUUGAAUUUAUCUCAACAGUGUGUAAGACUGUGUUGUGGUGUGUGUGUGUGUGUGUGGUUGAUUUUUAUUAUUUUUAUUUUUUGAGGGUCUUGAGUAUUAUGUCUGAGGGCGAAGUUUGGUUUUUGAGCAAGAUUGAAUGGUUUUGUGUGGAGAGCUAUCGAGAAACUGUAAAACAGUACCAACACGUUCCCGUGAUCAAAGUAAAUAUUUGUCAACUAACUAAAGUGAAUGCAAGUGAGGGUAAAUAUGGAUAUAAAGUAAAUAAACAAUGAUUAAAACAUCCACCAGAAUGCAACCAAUGGGAGACAGAACAGAAGUAAUAGGGUUUCUUGGCAUCUCCUCAAGCCUUUUCCUCCGGGUACCAUCCCCAAACCAAUGGCCUGACGGAGAACGUUAACCAGGAGAUGGAGACUGCACUACGCUGCGUCACUGCAUCCCACCCAGCAUCCUGGAGUUCCAUGCUCCCUUAGAACAGGAACUCGCAGUCCCCUUGAUCCAGGCUCACAUGUGGCGCUGCUUCAGGGUGUGGAGGAGGACUAGGGCAGCCCUGAUCCACGCAUCCAGCACCAUGCAGAGGCAGGCCAACUGUCGUCGCCACCUGGCCCCCACCUACACUGCGGGGCAACAGUCCCUUGGAUCCCUUGCCCUCUUCCCUGCACCUUUUUUUAAGCAUUUCUGAAAUUAAAGUUACUCACCACUUCUGCCUCCGUAUGCUGAGUCUUGCAUCCUACAGUCCUGACAAACCCUAACAAGAGAAGAGAGAGAGCCCACCCGAAAGUAAUGUCUUAAAGUCUAUUUGCGCGUAUUCCAAUCAUCUCUUUCCACAAUAUCAACACUUGAUUACAGUUUUUUUCCAAUUGCUAACACACUAAAAUGACAUGCACAGCAUGAUUAUUUAAACGGACACACAGAGAGCAACACUUCUUCUCAAGUCUCAAAGUCUAAACACAUUUUCUGCUUUACACACAUUUUGCAUUUCAAAAUGCCACUGAACACGGUUCUCUGCAUAAGACACAACAAUCUGACAAAGUCACAUGUUUGCCCUUUCAAAACCCUACCAUUCAAAAUUACACUACAUGAGCUAAUUGGCCAAUUACAUGUGUCACCUGGCCAAACACCUCAAUGGUUAAUUGUUAACACUUCAAUCAGGAUGUAAGCACUAUGAAAAGCACUUUUUUUUUUUUACAACAACAAUGGAAGAUGUUGCAGAGAGAGGAAGAGGGAGGUUGAGAAUAAGAGAGGGAGGAAGAGUGAGAGGUAGAGGGUAGAGCAGGUAGAGGAUAUCAUGGCCAAAGAAGACAAUCGCUUUCAAAUUAAAUCAGAGCAACCUUAGUUGAUCAUGUCAUCAACCAUGGGCUGACUAUGCGUGAGGCUGGACAGAGAGUGCAGCCAAACUUGAGCCGUUUUACUGUCUCCUCUGUCAUCUGGACCUUUAGACUGGAAAACAGGUAUGUAACCAAAAUUUCAUGUAGUACACCCCAUGUCAUAGUGUAUCAUUGGGUGACACCUGUUUACUUAGUGUAUGACAUCAGCCAUUCAUGAACUGUAAAAGUUUCCUGUACAAUGUACUCUACUGUGGGGGAAAACUAUUUAGGCUGCAUUGUCCAAGCCCUAUAUUAUUAUUUUUUUUUUUCUAAAGGACUGAGAGAUGACACCCUGGUGGAGGGAGGGGCCAAAUGUUCACCGGGGUACAGGAAGCUGGCAUUGUAAACUUGGUUUUGGAACAUAAUGAAAUCAGAUUACGAGAAAUUCAAAGCCACAUCAUCCAAGACAACAUCUUAUUCAACAACAUUCAACAACAUUCAACGAGUCAGUCUGUCCACAUUGGCUCACAUUCUCAAGCGAAACAAAAUCAGAAUGAAACAACUUUAAGGUGCCGUUUGAGAGAAACUCAAAGAAACAAAGAGGUCAGACGAGCAUAUUUGGAUGUAAGUACUAUAUUGACUGCAGUAGACUACACGCAACAUUGUUUCCCAGUGUACUGGAUAACACUAUUGACUGAUCUUUGUUUUCAGGGAAUGUGAUGAGAUUGAUGUGGGUGCAAUUCAGGGAUGGAUAAGGCACUCAAGGCGCUUCUUCCCUCGAUGUCUGGCAAGGGAAGAUAUUGCCUGUGAUGUUGCCUAUUGCCUGUGCGAGAAGAUGCUGCCUAAUUUUUCUUGCCUUUUUUUUUUUUUUUUUUUUUUUUACUGUAAUAUAUUUUUUCUGAAAUUUUCUUUUUCAGUUUACUGUUUUUGUAAGAAUACUUUUGUUCAGUCCCAUGUAAAUAUUUCUGCUGUGCAUAUGUUGCACUGACUUGUUUACUGUAGUGAAAAAUAAAAUAAAGUUUCAACAGCA